rnacentral:rRNA from 1 species
UACGUAGGGUGCGAGCGUUGUCCGGAAUUAUUGGGCGUAAAGGGCUCGUAGGCGGUCUGUCGCGUCGGGAGUGAAAACUCAGGGCUUAACCCUGAGCCUGCUUCCGAUACGGGCAGACUAGAGGUAUGCAGGGGAGAACGGAAUUCCUGGUGUAGCGGUGGAAUGCGCAGAUAUCAGGAGGAACACCGGUGGCGAAGGCGGGUCUCCGGGCAGUAACUGACGCUGAGGAGCGAAAGCGUGGGGAGCGAACAGG